CAGUUAACUGCAAAGGGAUUUGGGAGAUGGAGCCCACUGGCAUGCCUAGAUAGAAGGGGAGCGUGGAUUUGGUGGACAGUAAUGCUCCAGUUUUUAAGACCUUAAGUUUGGUCUUGAAAUAUAUGGCAUAUAAAAUCAUUCUCAUUGGGAAAGAAUUGCAGAUAAGUCAUCAUCCUUUGAAGGAUAAAAACAUGGAUGUGUAGGUGAUUCUGCUUUGAGUGUUCAAAUAGGGUCAACACCCAGGGUGUGGUAGAGCAACAAGAUAGAAGUAACUGACCCUCAAAGGCCCUUGUGGAGAAGAGCGAGCCAGCCAGCCAGGACUGUUCACAUCCUGUCUGCCCUGUAAGAGGUUCUGACUUAAUGAAACCCACCAUUUUAUACACUUUCCUAUUUCAAGUGUUGCCUGGAAAGAAAGGCUUAGGUGUCCAGUUUCUAUGGCUUAAGACAAGACACAUUCAUUAUCUUCCAGCAUAUUCUAAGAAAAGAUGACUCAUUUCAAAACUUCCCUGGAGCAGAAAUAAUGUGCAGUACGGGUUGUGGAGAUCUAGAGUCAUUUCAUCUGGCGGCUCUGCCAGCUCUAGGAUCUUCAGGAUCUCAGACACCCCCACCCCCUGAAAAUUCUGUGUCUGGCUGCAAGAAUUCUGAUACCACAACUGCCUACAAAACAAUUGUCAAGUCUGGGAUCAAAUUAUUAAUUGAAAUAGUCACAGAAGUGUUUACACCAUAAAAAAUUACAUGAAGAAAAGCCAACUGGGAGCAAAUUAUCCAAACUAAACUACUGAAAUGGUUUGGUUUCAGAGUCAUGCUGCUCUCAUAGAAUGGCUUUGAAGGUAUUUCUUACUUUUCUGUUCUUUGGGAGAGAUUAUUUGCUUCUAUUUACGUAUUUGAAAAUUUUACCAGUGAAGCAAUCUGGCCCUAAGAUUUUUUCUG